rnacentral:rRNA from 1 species
GAUGAACGCUGGCGGCGUGCCUAAUACAUGCAAGUCGAGCGAGCGGACGAGAAGCUUGCUUCUCUGAUGUUAGCGGCGGACGGGUGAGUAACACGUGGAUAACCUACCUAUAAGACUGGGAUAACUUCGGGAAACCGGAGCUAAUACCGGAUAAUAUUUUGAACCGCAUGGUUCAAAAGUAAAAGACGGUCUUGCUGUCACUUAUAGAUGGAUCCGCGCUGCAUUAGCUAGUUGGUAAGGUAACGGCUUACCAAGGCAACGAUGCAUAGCCGACCUGAGAGGGUGAUCGGCCACACUGGAACUGAGACACGGUCCAGACUCCUACGGGAGGCAGCAGUAGGGAAUCUUCCGCAAUGGGCGAAAGCCUGACGGAGCAACGCCGCGUGAGUGAUGAAGGUCUUCGGAUCGUAAAACUCUGUUAUUAGGGAAGAACAUAUGUGUAAGUAACUGUGCACAUCUUGACGGUACCUAAUCAGAAAGCCACGGCUAACUACGUG